rnacentral:rRNA from 1 species
ACGUUAGCGGCGGACGGGUGAGUAACACGUGGGUAACCUACCUAUAAGACUGGGAGAACUUCGGGAAACCGGAGCUAAUACCGGAUAAUAUUUCGAACCGCAUGGUUCGAUAGUGAAAGAUGGUUUUGCUAUCACUUAUAGAUGGACCCGCGCCGUAUUAGCUAGUUGGUAAGGUAACGGCUUACCAAGGCGACGAUACGUAGCCGACCUGAGAGGGUGAUCGGCCACACUGUAACUGAGACACGGUCCAGACUCCUACGGGAGGCAGCAGUC